CCUACGGGAGGCAGCAGUGAGGAAUAUUGGUCAAUGGACGCAAGUCUGAACCAGCCAUGCCGCGUGCAGGAAGACGGCUCUAUGAGUUGUAAACUGCUUUUGUACGAGGGUAAACGCAGAUACGCGUAUCUGUCUGAAAGUAUCGUACGCAUAAGGAUCGGCUAACUUCGUGCCAGCAGCCGCGGUAAUGAGGAGGAUUCAAGCGUUAUCCGGAUUUAUUGGGUGUAAAGGGAGCGUAGGGGGGCGGAUAAGGUAGAGGUGAAAUCCCGAGGCUCAAAUUCGGAUUUGCCUUUGAUACUGUUCGGCUAGAGAGUAGUUGCGGUAGGCGGAAUGUAUGGUGUAGCGGUGAAAUGCUUAGAGAUCAUGCAGAACACCGAUUGCGAAGGCAGCUUACCAAGCUACUUCUGACGUUGAGGCACGAAAGCGUGGGGAGCAAACAGGAUUAGAUACCCGAGUAGUC
rnacentral:rRNA from 1 species